ensembl:snRNA U1 U1 spliceosomal RNA
CUGCCUACCUGUCAGCCGAGAUACCAUGGUCAAGAAGAUGUUUUUCCCCCACGGUGAGGCUCAUCUGUUACACUUGAGAUCUGCUCACCCCUGUGCUUUCUCCUAAUGCAGGAAAAGUUGUCUGCAUGGUAGUGGGGAACUGUAUUUGCACUCUUCCCUG